UGAACGCUGGCGGCGUGCCUCAUACAUGCAAGUCGAGCGAACAGACGCGGAGCUUGCUCCUCUGACGUUAGCGGCGGACGGGUGAGUAACACGUGGAUAACCUACCUAUAAGACUGGGAUAACUUCGGGAAACCGGAGCUAAUACCGGAUAAUAUAUUGAACCGCAUGGUUCCAUAGUGAAAGACGGUUUUGCUGUCACUUAUAGAUGGAUCCGCGCCGCAUUAGCUAGUUGGUAAGGUAACGGCUUACCAAGGCGACGAUGCGUAGCCGACCUGAGAGGGUGAUCGGCCACACUGGAACUGAGACACGGUCCAGACUCCUACGGGAGGCAGCAGUAGGGAAUCUUCCGCAAUGGGCGAAAGCCUGACGGAGCAACGCCGCGUGAGUGAUGAAGGUCUUCGGAUCGUAAAACUCUGUUAUUAGGGAAGAACAAAUGUGUAAGUAACUAUGCACGUCUUGACGGUACCUAAUCAGAAAGCCACGGCUAACUACGUG
rnacentral:rRNA from 1 species